GAAUUUUGCGCAAUGGGCGAAAGCCUGACGCAGCAACGCCGCGUGGGGGAUGAAGGCCUUCGGGUCGUAAACCCCUUUUGCAGGGGAAGCAACUGACGGUACCCUGCGAAUAAGCCACGGCUACCUACGUGCCAGCAGCCGCGGUAAUACGUAGGUGGCAAGCGUUGUCCGGAUUUACUGGGCGUAAAGCGCGCGCAGGUGGCUCACCAAGUCUGGGGUGAAAUCUCUCGGCUCAACCGGGAGGGGUCUUCAGAUACUGGCGGGCUUGAGGGGAGGAGAGGAGAGCGGAAUUCCCGGUGUAGCGGUGAUAUGCGUAGAUAUCGGGAGGAACACCAGUGGCGAAGGCGGCUCUCUGGCCUCUCCCUGACGCUGAGGCGCGAAAGCGUGGGGAGCAAACCGG
rnacentral:rRNA from 1 species